UUUUUUUUACAAAACAUGUCUUAAUGAUAAAUUUAUUAAGUCUGACCUGCUCAAUGAUUUGUAUAAAUUAAAUAGCCGCAGUAUUUUGACUGUGCGAAGGUAGCAUAAUCAUUUGUCUUUUAAUUGAAGGCUUGUAUGAAUGGUUGGAUGAGGGAAUAACUUUCUUUACAUUAAAUAUUGAAUUUAAUUUUUAGGUUAAAAAGCUUAAAUUUAUAAAUGGGACGAGAAGACCCUAUAGAAUUUAACUAUUAAAAUAAUAACUAUUUUUUAGGUUGAUAUAAAUAUUUAUUAUUUAUGUAGUUUUGUUGGGGCGACAGUGAGAUUAAUUUAACUCUCAUAAUAUAUUUUAAUACUUAUGAGUAACUUUAUGAUCCUUUAAUAAGGAUUAUUAGAUUAAAUUACCUUAGGGAUAACAGCGUAAUUCUUCUGGAGAGUUCUUAUCAAUAGAAGAGUUUGCGACCUCGAUGUUGGAUUAAAAUUAGAUUUAAGUGCCAGAAGCUUAAUUUCUAGGGUCUGUUCGACCUUUAAAAUUUUACAUGAUUGGUUUUU
rnacentral:rRNA from 1 species